CAAUAGCGUAUAUUAAUGUUGUUGCAGUUAAAAAGCUCGUAGUUGGAUUUCGAAUGGGAGCGGUGGGUCGGGUCCGCAAGGGCUCGUUACCUGUUUCGUCUCCGGUUCUUUUUCGGGAUUUGUUUCUGGCGUGGCUGGCAUUGAGUUGUCGGUGGCGUCGGGCCCGUCGUUUACUGUGAACAAAUUAGAGUGUUCAAAGCAAGGUGUGUCUUGAAUACAUUAGCAUGGAAUAAUGAGAUAGGACUUCGGUGGUUUCGGUGAAAGCCGGAUAUUUUGUUGGUUUGCACGCCAAAGUAAUGAUUAAUAGGAGCAGUUGGGGGUAUUCGUAUUCAAUUGUCAGAGGUGAAAUUCUUGGAUUUCUAGAAGACGAACUACUGCGAAAGCAUUUACCAGGGAUGUUUUCAUUAA
rnacentral:rRNA from 1 species